GUGAGGAAUAUUGCGCAAUGGAGGCAACUCUGACGCAGCCAUGCCGCGUGCAGGAAGAAGGCGCUACGCGUUGUAAACUGCUUUUAACCGGGAAGAAACCCCAGGACGUGUCCUGGGUUGACGGUACCGGAGGAAUAAGCACCGGCUAACUUCGUGCCAGCAGCCGCGGUAAUACGAAGGGUGCAAGCGUUAUCCGGAUUCAUUGGGUUUAAAGGGGGCGUAGGCGGAGCGUUAAGUCAGUGGUGAAAUCCUGCAGCUUAACUGUAGACUUGCCAUUGAUACUGGCGCUCUUGAGUGCGCUUGAAGUGGGCGGAAUGUGCCGUGUAGCGGUGAAAUGCUUAGAUAUGGCACAGAACACCAAUUGCGAAGGCAGCUCACUAAGGCGAUACUGACGCUGAGGCACGAAAGCGUGGGGAUCGAACAGGAUUAGAUACCCUUGUAGUCC
rnacentral:rRNA from 1 species